ensembl:antisense
ACAACGCCUAAAGCAGGGCCUUCCAUGAACACUGAAGGAAGGCAGAAGUCAAGGGCACCCUGGCAGAGAACACAGAGAGGUUGACGGCGCAGCUGGGAAGUUAUGUCCCUGUCCUGACACAGUUCAGCUUACAGUUGAAGAUUUGUAAACUUGACUCCUGACCCUGAAACCUUGGGCCUUAACUCCAGGAAGCACUCAGCAGCCUCAUCUGCAGGCAGGUCUCAACCGAUACCGGGAAAGCCAAGGUGACAAAUUCCUGGCCUUGCCAGGCUGGCGUGGCCUGAGGGACACCUGUGUCAGCUCAUUGGGACUGAAUGAAUGAAGCAGCUUUUGCAAAAGAAACUGAAAUCACAGAGCAACCUGUGAUUUUUUAGCAAGUGGGGAGGCCACAGGUUUUCUAUUCUACAAACUGGGUGCUCAAGGGUGAGUGAAACGGACUGAGGUACACAGUGGGUAACAAUAGACUCUUUAUCCUUCUAAAGCCAAGCCCACACACCAGAUGACAACAGCUAUAUUUACUCACUGACGUAAUUAACCAGAAUGAGAACGGCUUCAAGCAAUGUUUAAAAUCAAAGAGUAUUUUAUAGGGUCUGAUGCAAACUGAGUCCGAUGGUGAAAGGCCACCUUUCUUCAACACUCUAGCUUAUCUCUGUGAGUAUUAGCCAACCGCUCCCUGAAAUACAAGCCACAGAAAGGCACACUCGUGGGGCGUCCCACCAAACGUACACAGCAAGCACCACAGCUGAAAGGCCCCAGAGUCAGGCAUCACCUGGUGAACUGGUCUCACUCAGUACCUGGCAUUAAAUUCCACCAUGGAGCCCAAAGGCAGGGCCUAGAGCAGGAAAGCAGACAAUGUGGCAAGAUGAGAACAGGCAUGCAUACACUCUGCCUCGCAUGCAAAUAAAGGAUUCAUAAUUUGACUCUGCCAUCCUAAGAGUCAGCAUCACCCAUAGCUCUACAGCCCAGAUUGAGGGUGAAGCUUCAGUGGACAGAAUGGGUACCACCGCCCUUACUGAAAAGCCCAGCCGCCUCUAUGCUGCACUGGAGGCAGAUGGAGGCACAAUGAGCUCUUCCACAAGGUGCAGAGGAACACAUGGUCAAGGCCCUACCUGAAAGAGGCCUUGCGAACCCUGAGAUGCAGGGCUGAGGGAAGCUUUAGGAAAUCUUGGGCCAGGAGCUUCUGUGGGUAUUUUUACCAGAGCUGUUACUGCCAGCCCCCACACAGCCCCAAAAGAGCCUUAUGAAUAACGUAUAAGAACACAAAUCCACAUUUCAUAUCAGUAUGAUCAUGGAUAUGUCUGUGCAUACCAGAUGACAGCAAGUAAUCUGAGUGCGACCAGGUGACUCUCCUGAUGGUCUACACUGUAUUCAUGGUCCACAUGCCAGUGCCCAGGAGGCUGAUGCAGGAGGAUGGCAAGUUCCAGGACAGCCGAGGGGAGUGUCCUGCUUGUCUUCUGAGACAGGACAGCUUUUUUAAGAUUCAGUGCAACAGACACUUGAGCAAAUGUUUUCAUUACAAUCCCAAACACUCUCAAAUUCAGAGAGGGUGGGCUAAGGAAUCUUUUUAAACAAAACUCAACCAUUAAUGGAAUCUUUGAAUAGACUACAGGGAGUACAAGCUGGAAAGUGAUGCUUUGCCGAGCUGUGGACUUUAUGAAGGCUGAUAGUGGGUCUCACACAUUUUAGCUCCUCUACCAGAUCCCCAGAGAUCUCGGAGGGGCUUGGUGUUGCCUCUGCCCAGAGGCUGAGGAACCUAGCCCGUUCUCCUCAUCACAGGAUAAACCUGGGGUGCUGAAGUGAGGCUUCGUUGUUGAGACUAGCAGUACCUUUCAUGUGACUGAUAGUUCCUUGUUCAUUUGUUUUUAAGACAAGUCAUGCACAGUUUGUUAUUAUUUUGAUGUUCAAUGUCUUUAAAAAAAAUACUUUCUUAUCUGGCCACACUGAAGCCAUGAAUUGGCUCUAAGCGACCCUCUCUGUGGGGUAAGUGCUAAGCACAAACAGCACUGGCAGUACUAUCACCCCAGUGCCGAGGGCAAGCAGCACAGUUGCCAAGCAACAAGGUGCCCACACAGCUGGUUUCCUCUAUCAAAUAUGAGCAUAUGAUGGGUUGAGAGACAGUAAGACUUUUCAAGGUUUAGAUCAUUUAUUUAUGUUUCCAACUGCCUGAAGACAUCAGAGUGUGUGGCCUUUGACAGACCUGAUCUUUGCAACCCAAAUGCAAAGGUUUGGUUGGCUUUCUAAGUUCUUCUCUGAGGAAGAGCCUUCUGGCCAGUGUCACUUGUCAUCAACAUCCACACUGAGAAUAUAAACGGCACCAUUCUCUCUACCACUAAUCACCUCCUUAUUCCCUAAUCUGUUCUCCACCUGUGGGACCAACUCUACUCACAAACACCCCCCACCACUAGGAACAAAAUGUCGACCUGUUGGUCUUCAGUUGAUGACUUGACUCCAGACCCUCAAACUGGAAUACUGAGUCCAGUCCCUGCGCCCAACCAGCUCCCUCCUGCACUGCCCAUCUGCUCAAGGUCUGGAUAAAAGAAGCCAAGACAUACCAUUCACUAGGGCCUGGGUGCUCAGAGACUGCCCAUGCUGCAAUCUAGAGCUUGUCAAGUCCCUCUCUAACGGCCCUCCCCCUUUCUCCCAGAUGAGCGAAGAAAAUCCAGGCCCCAAUUCCAACCAACUCUGCCUCUGACUGUCCUCCAAGCCUCUCCCAGUCCACUCUCUACCCAGCAGCCUCCAGGGCUGAUCCAAUCCCAGAAGCCAUGGUAGCAUGGGUGAUCUGAUCCCAGAAGCCAUUAGCGUGGGUGCCAGAGUCAACAAGCUCAUUUGCUUUUAAAGAACUUCUGUUACGUCACUGUGUGCGUGUGUGCGCAGGAUCCCAGAUGUUCCCACACACCACACUCUCCCUGUAGAUCCCCCUAAACUUCAGAACUGAGGAAGGGUAGGAAAUCCAUGGGACGAGGCCCACAGCCAGCGAAAUAGCUCCUUGAGUUUUCUCAUCUAAUCUGUGGCUUGGGUGUGCUGGGCCUUUACAGCAGUUUGGUUUGAGCUACAUAGUCGGGAGAAGAAAGAAAAAGACUCAUUAUUUGUAGAAUAUUUUAAUUAAAUGAAUCCUCAUCUUGCUUCUAAUAAAUGCAGCCCAAGCAACGAUAUUUAUUUAUUUAUCAGGCUUUGCACAAUUACUGGGGGAUUACCCUAAUCUAAAUCUCUGACGCUACUCUGGCCACUACCCCGAUUGUCCUCCCCAAACACUUGCUGUUUGAAAUUCUCUGGGUUGUUUCUCUUCCAGCAGUCUGGUGUCCUGGGAAAACAUCUGACUCUGACAUGUGCUGCUGGUCCAAUAUGACUGACAAAGAUUUCUUGCUCGCUCCGUCUUCUCCUCCUUCACCUUCUUCACCUCCUUCUCCCUCUCUCCCUGUCCUCAUGCCCACUACCUGCGACCUCCAGCCUGAUAACUCAAACGCCAUCUCUCCCUAUUUCCCCCAUAACUGGCUGCUUCCAGUUUUAUUUAAUUAAUAGUUUUAAGUUGGGGAGCAAGGUUUACACAACCAAGGCUGGUAUCCAUAAGGAUCAUCUUGGAGCAAACAGAUCUUGGGGUGCAGAAUUUAGCAUCUGAAUAUAAGCAGCACCAGACCACACACCCCCUUACAGUUAUUCGGCAGGCCUGACAAAUACUAAGCACCUCACGGCAACACAGCAGGCCUCUACGAGUGACAGCAAGCACCAGGUAAGAGGGUGCCACCCAGGCACUGUACAGGAAUUAAGAGGACACAGAGGAAUUAGCAACUGCCUAAGGACAACCAUCAUCCAAUACAAGGUCUCAGGAGAAAACCAGUCAUCUGCUCCCGUGAGACUUAGCUCUUGAGAAGAUGGCAACUCACCAAGUCACAUCAUGUGGACACUGCCACGCAUGGCACACAGAGGACACUUAAGACAUCAAACAACAGAACGAGGCCCAGGAUCUUCAAGUGGCAGCUGACUGGGGAGCUGGUGCUGUACCCAGGAGGUGACUGAUUACUUUUAACAUCUCAUUAAGCCUAAUGAAUGCCCUGAUCAGACGCUCGGUCAACUUCUACAAAAUGCCAGGCAUUACAAAUCUUAGGUUCUGCAGGUUAUACAAGUCUGUCAGUGCACUGAAGAAGAGUGAAGCCUGCCACCAGUACACUAAUACCCACGGCUGCAUUCUAAUAAAGCUUUAUUCAUCC